CAGAAACAGUCAUGAGAUACUGAAUAGGAAAG
rnacentral:scRNA from 1 species